rnacentral:rRNA from 1 species
UGGGGAAUCUUGCGCAAUGGGCGAAAGCCUGACGCAGCCAUGCCGCGUGAAUGAUGAAGGUCUUAGGAUUGUAAAAUUCUUUCACCGGGGACGAUAAUGACGGUACCCGGAGAAGAAGCCCCGGCUAACUUCGUGCCAGCAGCCGCGGUAAUACGAAGGGGGCUAGCGUUGCUCGGAAUUACUGGGCGUAAAGGGAGCGUAGGCGGACAUUUAAGUCAGGGGUGAAAUCCCGGGGCUCAACCUCGGAAUUGCCUUUGAUACUGGGUGUCUUGAGUGUGAGAGAGGUAUGUGGAACUCCGAGUGUAGAGGUGAAAUUCGUAGAUAUUCGGAAGAACACCAGUGGCGAAGGCGACAUACUGGCUCAUUACUGACGCUGAGGCUCGAAAGCGUGGGGAGCAAACAGGAUUAGAUACCCUGGUAGUCCACGCCGUAAACGAUGAUUGCUAGUUGUCGGGAUGCAUGCAUUUCGGUGACGCAGCUAACGCAUUAAGCAAUCCGCCUGGGGAGUACGGUCGCAAGAUUA